UACGUAGGGGGCAAGCGUUGUCCGGAAUCAUUGGGCGUAAAGCGCGUGUAGGCGGCCCGAUAAGUCCGCUGUGAAAGUCCAGGGCUCAACCCUGGAAUGCCGGUGGAUACUGUCGGGCUCGAGUCCGGAAGAGGCGAGUGGAACUCCUGGUGUAGCGGUGAAAUGCGCAGAUAUCAGGAGGAACACCAGUGGCGAAGGCGGCUUCCUGGCCUGUUCUUGACGCUGAGGCGCGAAAGCUAGGGGAGCAAACGGG
rnacentral:rRNA from 1 species